rnacentral:lncRNA from 1 species
CAGUGCGGAAGUGAGAGGCGAGCUCCAGCUCCCCGGAGUCGGUGCCUUUUAAGCUGGCUAGCCGUGUUCUUCGCUGGUCCGCGGAAGUCUGGCUCGGCUGCUGGAGGGGAGCUGGGCCUGCGGAGGCCCGGGCGUGGGGUUGGGCGUCUGCCUACGGAGCUCCCGCGGAGCCCCUGCAGGGUUGCAGCAAUGGAAGGCAUCUGGUGGGAGCUGAGAGCAUGAAUUUUCCCUCUGUCAGGGUGAGCAAUUCUUGAACAGACUCAGAAUGGACCGGUUAGAGGACUUGGUCUGGUUUCUCCUUUCACCAUGUGGGUUCAGGGAUCACCAUCAAGCUUGGCAGGAAGGCUUUUACCAGCUGAACCGUGCUGAGGCCCCAUGUCCUUUGAUUUUGUUUUGUUUUGUUGUGUUGAGACAAGGUUUCUCUGUGUAGCACGUUGUAGCUCUGUAAACCAGGCUGGCCUCAAACUCAGAUUUGCCUUCCUCUGUUUCCCAGUGUUAGGAUUAAAGUCAUGUACCACCAAGCCAAG